UACGUAGGGUGCAAGCGUUAAUCGGAAUUACUGGGCGUAAAGCGUGCGCAGGCGGUUAUGCAAGGCAGAUGUGAAAUCCCCGGGCUCAACCUGGGAACUGCAUUUGUGACUGCAUGGCUAGAGUGCGGCAGAGGGGAUGGAAUUCCGCGUGUAGCAGUGAAAUGCGUAGAUAUGCGGAGGAACACCGAUGGCGAAGGCAAUCCCUGGGCCUGCACUAACGCUCAUGCACGAAAGCGUGGGAGCAAACAGG
rnacentral:rRNA from 1 species